rnacentral:tRNA from 1 species
GCCUUGAUAGUUCAAAGAAGAAUGCUGGUCUCCAAAACCAGUGAUGACGGUUCGAUCCCGUCUCGAGGCG